rnacentral:rRNA from 1 species
UACGUAGGGUGCGAGCGUUGUCCGGAAUUAUUGGGCGUAAAGAGCUUGUAGGCGGUUUGUCGCGUCUGCUGUGAAAUCUCAAGGCUCAACCUUGAGCUUGCAGUGGGUACGGGCAGACUAGAGUGUGGUAGGGGAGACUGGAAUUCCUGGUGUAGCGGUGAAAUGCGCAGAUAGUCAGGAGGAACACCGGUGGCGAAGGCGGGUCUCUGGGCCGGUAACUGACGCUGGAGGAGCGAAAGCGUGGGGAGCGAACAGG